rnacentral:lncRNA from 1 species
GGUUAUUCUCUUGUAGACAUGCACUAUAUGACUAUGAGAGGCUUUGACAUUUGUGUUUGUGUCUUCGACUUUGAUUAUCUUCUUCUACGUGUUGCAGUGACUUUCUACAUGUUGCACUGACUUACUAUGGAUGUCUAUUGGAUUGUGGAGGCAAUUGCGGUAGAUUAUUGGACUUACUGUGAAGCUUUAGGUUUUAUUAUGUUUCCAUUCACUAUCUUAUGUGCUUGAUUUGAAAUGGCUGUAUUCUCUCUUAUUGGUUGAAUAGUAGGAAGCUACACGUGUCAGUCACUGUGUGUCUAAGCUAGGGUGAUUCUUACUUAUGCUUAUCCUUGAUCUCGUGAUCCCAACUAUCUUCCAAAAUGAAUAUGUUCUCCAUAAUGACAAUAAUAUUUAGUUAUAUUUCCAAUAUGAGAAUGAAAAACUAUCUCUCAAGCUAUGAGAGACCUAUUCCAAAAGGAAAGCUCCAAGAGCUCUAUUUACUUCUUUCGGGUUGGGGUCUCAGUAUUUCUGAUAGGAUAUCGAACCAAACUGUAUCUUAUUUCUAACUAUAUUUCUCAAUCUUAGUCGUUUGCUGAUUUUGGUCUUUAUUAUUUAAUGUUUUUGGACUUGAUCACCUAACAUGUGGGCUGAACUGUUGUUUAUCUACAAUAGUAUUUCAAAGUGUUUUUGUAAUCUUCUUCGUGCUCUUGGUUUUGAAUUUGUGGCUUCCCUUGAUAUUUUAGAUUUUGUGAAUUUAUCUUAUUGUUUCUUUACUUUGUCAUGUCAUCUUUUUAAGAAGAUUAGUUUUCUCAAAUCGCCAUGAGUCUUCUUGAGCUUUGUCACGAGUCUUAUUGAACUUUGCCACGAGAAAUUCUUGAGCUUUGCCACGAGUAUUCUUGACCUUUUACAUGAAGGAUGUAGGGGUCAGGUUUUGGAAAUAGUGGAUGGAGAUACAGUUAAACUUUAGGCUUUAUUAUCUUUGCAUUCAUUAUUUUCUUUGCUGUUAUUCUUUUUGCUACUCUUGUGGAGUCGGAGUUUUUGUAAUUCGGCAUUUGACUUUGAUGAUUUGAUUAUCUUUUACUUGUGUUGUAGUGAUCUUUGAGCUUUGCCAUGAGUCUUCUUGACCUUUGCCACGAGUUUUCUUGAGCUUUGCCAUAUAAGACUUCUUGAGCUUUGCCAUGAGUCUUCUUGAGCUUUGCCAUCAUAAGUCUUCUUGAGCUUUGCCAUGAGACUUAUUGAGCUUUGCCAUGAGUCUUCGUGAGCUUCCAUGAGUCUGCUUGAGCUUUGCCAUGAGUCUUCUUGUGCUUUGCCAUGAGUCUUCUUGUGCUUUUCCAUGAGUCUUCGUGAGCUUUGCCAUGAGUCUUCUUGUGAUUUGCCAUGAGUCUUCUUAUGCUUUGCCAUAAGUCUUCUUGAGCUUUGCCAUGAAUCUUCUUGAGCUUUUACAUGAAGGAUGUAGGGUUCUGGUUUUGGAAACAGCGGAUGGAGUUACAGUUAAAGUUUAGGUUUUAUUAUCUUUGCAUUCAUUAUGCUGAUAAAAAAAUCUUUGCAUUCAUUAUUUUCUUUGUUGUUAUUCUUUUUGCUACUCUUGUGGAGUGGGAGUUCUUGUAAUUGGGCCUUUGACUUUGAUGAUUUGAUUAUAUUCUACUUGUGUUGUAGUGAACUUUGAGCUUUGCCAUGAGUCUUCUUGAGCUUUUCCAUGAGACUUGUUGAGCUUUGCCAUGAGACUUGUUGAGCUUUGCCAUGAAGGAUGUAGGGGUCAGGUUUUGGAAGCAACGGAUGGAGAUACAGUUAAAGUUUAGGUUUUAUUAUCUCUGCAUUUAUUAUGCUGAUAAAAAAAUUCUUUGCAUUCAUUAUUUUCUUUGCUGUUAUUCUUUUUGUUACUCUUGUGGAGUGGGAGUUAUUGUAAUUGUGCCUUUGACUUUGAUGAUCUGAUUGUCUUUUUCUACUUGUGUUGCAAUGAACACUUACCAUGGAUGUUUGUUGGACAUAUUUUGAAGCUUCAGGUUUUAUUAUUUUUCUACUCACUAUUUUUCUUAUGCGCUCGAUAUGGAAUGUCUACAGUUUUUCUUAUUGGCUAGAUAGUUGGAAGGUAUUGUAUGUAUCUAAGCAAGAACGAUAGUCUAGGUCCUCCAUCAUCUACCCUUAUUGAUUAUAGUUUUCUUGAAUUCAUUGGCCUUACAGGAAAGCUAAGCAAUGAAGUGUGGUGUAGGAUGUAAAAAUGGUGGGUGGAAAUUCUUUGAUCAGUGAAGCUAAAUGUUUUUUUCACCAGGACAUUGUUGUGUUCAUCUGAAUUAAGUUUUAACUGGCUCAACUUGUGGGUUUGAUUAUAAUCUUGGUUGUAACUUGUUGGUUUGAUUAUAAUCUUGGUUGUAUUUUGAUAAUGUAUGGUUCUAAGAGGAAUUGUGGGAUGAGCAUGAGACAAGUGCGGCUGGGCUUUAAUGUUUGAUUUGAUGGUUUGCUUCUUGGUUUGAGAAGUUCUACUAUUUAAUUUUGUUGACUUCUCUGCAUAAUUCUAUAAUAUAGGUCUUUUGUUCUAUAUAGGUCUUUGGUUCUUUUAAUAGUUUUCCAAAACCUUUCGAUUCAUUAUUCUUGAUCCCAAACAUAUGGGUUGAGUUGUGAACUUCUUUGGAAUUUUUUCAUGUAACUCUUACGCUGAAAUUUUUGAAAUUAGUAUAAGAAUGAUCCUGAAAUUGAAAUUGUUUAAAUGCUUCACUUUUGCGUCAACAAUCUCCAUAUGUGUUUGUCGUUCCUCGAUUUUUGAAAUUUGCAUUUUUUUGUUUGCAACACAUUGAGUCUUUAUCUGAGGUUUCUCUUUCAGUUUAUUAACUCAACCAGUGAUGGAAUAUAGUGGGACGACUAACCUGUCUAAUCAACCAGUUACAGAUUUUUUUUUUUUCCUUUAUUGUUUAUUGAGUUGAGUGUUUUCAAAAUAUUUUUGUAACCACUUGGGAUUGAAAGUGCAACGUUAUGCCUGGCAUUAGAUAAUUGGACUUCUUUUAUUAGUUAUCCAAACCGUUCAUUUUUUUCAUAUUUGUUCUAUUUGGACAGGAAUUGUAUGCGAGAAAGAUAAUGGAUUUUUGGAGGUGAAUUUGUUUCAUAUUUGUUCUAUUUGGACAGGAAUUGUAUGCGAGAAAGAUAAUGGAGUUUUGGAGGUGAAUUUGUUUCAUAUUUGUUCUAUUUGGACAGGAAUUGUAUGCGAGAAAGAUAAUGAAGUUUUGGAGGUGAAUUUGUUAAUUUCAGUAACGACUCUGGAGGAUUUGUAUUUUGGAGGUGAAUUUGUUAAUUCCAGUCAAAACGACGAAGAACUCUUGAUAAAGUAAUUUUCUUUGUUAUUCUAUUUCUCUACCCAAUCCCGGUGUUGCAUUAAUCCCUUUUCAGCAUACAGAACUGUGACCGAUAAGUCUGUAUGCAACGACGUUUUUGGAAAUUUUGUGUCUCAAACUUAUUAUUAGGACUUAUUACCUUGGUUUUAUCUGAUCAUUCUGGACUUGCUAUCUUCUUCUGUGGGUUUUGGUUUGGUUUCAAUUUUCCGUAUUGUCUCAUAAGUUUGUAGUAUUGGAUUUUUUUGUUUGCAUAUCAGAAACUGAACCAAUCUCAAGGCAUUAAGUUUCUAUAGUUGGAGUUGUAUGAAAUUUAGAUAGUCUCUUUAAUAUUGCAUGGUAGGUUUUUUAUACGAUGUACAAGUAUAUCCAGUUUUAUUUGGAUAUUUUUUAGCAACAAGCUUUUGGAAUAGGAUUGUGUGAGUGCUACCAUUGGAAAGUUCAACUUGAAACGACAACAACUCACAAUAGCCUAAUUUCUUCUAUAUGAGGUUUCACCUUUUACUUAACUUCUAAGGACUUGAUCACCAACAAUAGGAUUGAAUUGUGAUUUGUUUUUCUACUGUGGUUUAUGAUUGGAUUCACACAAUGUCUGGAUCUCAUCGAGCUUUUAAUGAGUUUGUUUCUUAGUUUAAGAAAUUGUCGAAUAUUUUUUUAAAUUCCUCCCCUGGAACAAGUGUUUUUGUUUUCUUGAAUUUUUGCUCUUUAAAGGUAAGACAAGCAAUGGAUGUGUGAGGACAUGUAGAAACAUAGGGAUCAAUUGAAGCUUUAGUUUGUGUUAAUUCGUGACUGGUUAUUUGAGUGCAGUCUUUUAUUUGGUGACAGAGAUGUAUCAAAAUAAAAAAAAUGGUUUAGGAUUUCCUCUCUAUUUGAUAUUUUCAGAUUUGAUCACCAAAUAUAAGGAUUUUCCGUGGUCAUUUGUUUCUCUGCAGUGAUGUUUGCAUUAUGUUUCAUGCUACGUCUAAUGUAUCAUGUUGUCUGGAAGUUUUUAUGGCUCUUGGUAACAGGCUUUACAAGAGUUUCAGAGGAUCAGGUGAUACCUAUUAUCAUAAUUGUGUCUUGCAGUGUGAAUUGUUCAAGUUUAUUCAUUUGCAAAAGGGAUCAGUUAUUCAUUCAUUUUUGCAGAAGAUUAGAUGGCUAACAUUAUUGUCUGUUCAUUUGAUCCAGUAAGAGCCCAUUCUAGAAAUGUGGAUUUCUCUUUUUUGUUGAUUUUUAGAUUUGGAAUUGUUCAAGUACCAACAGCAUGAUUUCAUGGUCUCUUAUGAUUUCCUCUGAAUUCUUGGUUGUUGUUUUGACAGGAUAGGGUUUGGGUAGACUUUGGGUUUUUGGAUUAGGAAUUGUCCAACGACCAACCAUGUGUAAAAGUUUGAAAUAUAUGAUGUGUUUGUGAGAUAUUUUCUAGGGAUAUAUAUAUAUAUAUAUAUAUAUAUAUAUUUAGUUGCUAGUUUUAUUUUUGAUUGAAUUACAUAAAUGCUUUAUUAAUAUGAUCAUUUGAUUAUAGCAGAGUUGUAGUGUUUUUUAUAAAAUUAUUCUUGGUAGUUAUCUAAUUAUUCAUGGUUGUUAUAUUAACUUUAAUAGUUAUUGUUUUUGGAAAAAUAAUCUAGAACUCUUUUGUUGGCUAAUGAUUCUCUAACAUUUUUUUUUAAUUUUAUAGUAGUUGUAUUUUUCUUUGACAAUUUAGUUUAGGUUUUUUUACCGUGUCUGAUUGUUAAUUAAAUAUUUAUUUUCAUUAGAAUGUUGAUGAUGUGAAUGAUUUCUUUUAAUGUUGAUUGUGAUUCUAUUUUAUAAAAUAUUGUGUUAUGGUAAUCAUUAAUUAAUUGCUUUGUAUGCACUCAUUAUCAUAUUGUUGUAUGACAAAUCUUAAAGCUGUCUAAGAGAGGUUCCUGGGUUGCUCGGUGGAAAGUUCUAAAACUCGCUCAAUAUAGUAAAUUAUGGAUCAUGUGCUUUUACGCAAGAAUUAUUAGUAAAUUCAUGUACAUGAAUUCAGAGUAUAAUUCUCUAGUUGAUGACUAAGAGUUUUUAACCUUUCGCUUAAAUUUCUUUGCACCUUUUAAGCUUAUGGCCGGUUCACUGAUAUUUCUUUUGCCUAUGGAUGAUAUGAAAACCCCAACAGCCAAGAGCUAAGAAUAACGGAAGUCUUUUGAGUUUCCCUUUUAUUUUAUUUUUUUCUGGUAUUGAUGACCGAACAUAAGGAUUGAACUAUGAUGUGUUUAUCUGUAGUGGUGUUUGGAUUAGUUGAGUAUAUUAGCCUUAUCAAGUUUCUAUACUUCCUCUUAGCAAGAGCGGUUAUUGUUUCCUUCAAUUUUUUGACUGUACAGGGUUUAUCGUUUCCUUCAAUAAAAUUUGGUAUUUGUGUUCAUUCCUUUUCAGCAAGUCAUGAGUCUCUGAGAUCUCUUUUGGCAGUUGAGGAACAAGAAAGGUUAUAGAUCAGGAUAUUCUAAUUUCUCUAUACUUGAUCACCGAACAUUGAAUAGUGAUUUGUUCUUAUGCAAUAAACAUAAGGAUUUAAUUUUGAUUUGUUUCUCUACAGCAAUGUUUGGAUUUUUUCGUGUAAUGUCCUGCAUCUCAUGGAGUAUGUUAUGCGGCAUAAUAGUUGAAUUGUAAUUUGCUUCUCUGCAGUGUGAAAAUCGCUUACCGUACUGCAUCUCAUGGGGUAUGUUAUGAGUGACCGAGUCUCCCUUAAUAUUUUAAUUUAUCUAAUAGUCCUUUAUUACCUGUUAUAAUUUUGUUGAAUUAUUGUUCUUUACAGGGAUGUGUGGUAAUUAGCAAGAGCUCGGGACUAUUUGGUUUCAAUUCUUUUAUAACAAAACUUUAUUUUCUCUGCUGCUAUUAUGCACGGGUAAACUUGUGGAUUGGGAAUGCUUACCUCUUUAUGACAGGUGUAAACGUCUGUGUCAGCCAUUUAAUUUUCUCUUUCUAGUCCACACUCAGACAUUUCUUUCAGCAACUGAGUUAUUUAAUCGCAAAGAGUGUUUUGUUUCCUUUCAUAUUCUUUGUUGUCAAAACAACCUUUGUUUCUUUCUUAUCAGCUAUAGUAUUUAGUUUCACUGCGAUCUCGGGAUGUGUUAUUUGGCAGUGAUGUGGUUAUUUAUUCGAGGAUUGAUGUGUUAUUUGUAAGUGAGGUGGUUAUUCAUUCGAGGAUUGAGUUCCAUUCCCUUUGCCUUGCAUUGUUUGUGUUCAUUGCUAUCAAACAACUUUCUUCCUUUUAAAUGUAUGGAGUCUAUUUUUUUAAGAUGAAAUCCCCACUAAAUGUUAAUGUUUUAUUUUUUUCUUUCUUUUUCAUCAUGUCCUAGUUAUUUGCGUUUCUCAUAGGCUUGGUCUCAUCCCUUCGACUUGCAUUUGUUCGUGUUCAUUGCUAUUAAACAACUUUCUUUUUUUAAUGUAUGGAGCCUUUUUUGCUAUGUCUAGAUGUUGAUUUGCUUGUUUUCAUUCCGUUUUAGGUGUUGAUUUGUUUGCGUUCAUUCCUUUUUAGGUGUUGAUUUGUUUGUGUUCAUUCCUUUUUAGCAUGUGGAGACCUCAAGAAUGGUUAAGGAUUAAAAUCUGGAAGUGUUAAGAACGACCAAUAAUUCAGGAUAACCUAAUUUCAUGAGUUUCCUUUCUAUUUGUCUUUAACUGGGACUGGCUAUUUGAAUUUCUCUAGUUUUUGAAUUCCUUCAAUUCAUUAAUUCAUCUUAUGCUUUCUUAAAUUCUUGGUCUUUAUUACCAAUAUCUAUUUUGAAUUUAAAUAUAGUUCUUAAAUUUUUUAUGUCUAGGUGUGGAUUCGUUUGUGUUCAUUCCUUUUUAGCCUGUAAGACUGGUUGAGGAUUAAAAUCUGCUAGUGGACACGAAAAACAAUCCACGGAUGUGAGGUAGGAUAUCUAAAUACUGGAAGGAGAUGCUUGAUUCUGUAGGUUAUCCAUACUCUUUGAUGACAGAUGCCUACUUGAGUUUGGAUGUAGUUAUUUAUUUGAUGACAGAGAUCUAUCAUAUGUAACUUUUUGUUAGUUCCUUUUCAACAGGGGAUUCUGGUUGAGGAUUAAAAAACAUAAAUUUGAAUAUUGUUUUUGUCUGAUUAUUGAAAUAUGUCAAAUCUAGCUGUUUGAUAUGUGAAUUUCUUGAUUCUUUUUCAGCAAAUCAUAGGUUAGUAAUAAUAAAGUGCUCAGGGAAGAUGUCUCCCCUUCUUUUUGAAACUUUGUAGAUUGAGCAUAUUUUCCAGACUGAUAUAUGAGGUAGGAUGUGGAAACACUUGCCAGGGGAUGUGUGAAGCUUUAGGUUUUGUUACCCUUACAUUUCUUGUGUCUUUAUUUGUGACUGACUAGACUUCUUGUUUGGAUUCUAAUUUUUGGUUGGAUUCAUUGCUAACCUUGUAGUUUAAGUGGCAGUUCUUGUGGGUUUAGAGGUCGUGUAAUUUGGGGAGGAUUUUUGUCUGGCCGAACUUCUUAAUAUGAAAUACUGAAUUGAUAGUGAAAAAAAGAUAAAGAAAAUAUAUCAUGGCCAUUAAAAGUUUAUGUUUCUCUUCGUGUUCAGCCAUGCCACUUGCCAGUGAACUCUUGCUUCUUUCUCUAUUGUUCCACAUGCAUUUUUUCAUAAUUUUUACUCUUUUUUUUAAGUUGUCCAUCUCUAAGUAAUUUAGGCUUCUCGUAGCUUUUACCAGUCCUGGAUUCAUAGUAAAAUUUGACCCUUUUACAUGGUGCAAUUGAAAUUAAGGAGAGAAUUAUUGAUCUUUAGUUUUAUAGUACUGAAUUAAUUUUGGAUAUGCUUAGGUCUAGCAAAUUUGAAAGGUCAUUUUCUUAGUUUUUACUUCAUUUACUAAAUUAUCAAGAGUAUUGGACAAUUUGAUUUUUUAGUGUUUUGUUUGCUGCAUUGACAAAUGAAUCUUGUAUUCUAUUGUUUUUAAUAGUUUUGGAUUACAUUCUGAAUAUGGCAUAUGAUGAUCUCUUCUAUCUUCCAAAAUGCGAAGGAUCUCCAACAUUAGAGUUGUAUUUAGUUCUAUCUCCAAUGUGAGAAUGAGAAAAUUGAGAGCUCUAUUUAGUUUUAUCUCCAAUUAUCUCUGUAAUAUGAGAAUGAGAAACAACAGUAGUUGGAAUGUUUUCUUGCAAUCUUCCUGUGCUAUGAUUCAGUUCUCUCUCCAUAUACGAGAAUAAGAAAAUGAGAAAGAGAAACAAGAUUAUUUGGAAUGUUUUGUCGUAAUCUUCUUGCACUAUGAUUCGGUUCUCUCCCAAUAUGCGAAUGAGAAAAUGAGAAACAACAGGAAAGUUUUGUCGUAAUCUUCUUGCGCUAUGAUUCGGUUCUGUCCCCAAUAUGCGAAUGAGAAGAUGAGAAACAAUAGCAUAUGAGAGGUCCAUUUAGUUCUAUCUCCAAUAUGAGAAUGAGAAUCAAAUGUACAUGAGAUUUCUAUUUAGUUUGAUCUCUAAUACGAUAAAGAAGAGAAACAAAAGCAUUUGGAUUGUUCUCUUUGUAAUCUUCGUGUGCUAUGAGCAACGCCUCCCCUCGAGGCUAUGGUAACGGGUGAUGCCUCUCUAUUCCAACAUGAGAGCUCUAUAUAUUUCUUUGGGGUGGGGUAUCAAUUUAUGAUACCAUGUGGAAGCAGACACCAUCUUUUUGCCGUCUAUAUUUCUCAGCUCUUGCUGAACUUAGUUUUCUUGAAUUGCCAUGCUUCUUUUUAAACUUUUACAGUAAGGCAAUAGAUAUGUGGGGGCAGGUUUUGGAAACAGUGUAUGGAGAUCUGGUGAAACUUACUGUGAAGCUUUAGGUUUUAUUAUGUUUCCAUUCACUAUCUUAUGUGCUUGAUUUGAAAUGGCUGUAUUCUCUCUUAUUGGUUUAAUAGUAGGAAGCUACACGUGUCAGUCAUUGUGUGUCUAAGCUAGGGCGAUUCUUAAUUAUGCUUAUCCUUGAUCUCAUGAUCCCAACUAUCUUCCAAAAUGAGAAUGUUCUCCAUAAUGACAGUAAUAUUUAGUUAUAUUUCCAAUAUGAGAAUGAAAAACUAUCUCUCAAGGCUACGAGUGACCUAUUCCAAAAGGAAAGCUCCAACAUGACAGCUCUAUUUACUUCUUUCAGGUUGGGGUCUCAGUAUUUGUGAUAGGAUAUGGAAGCAGACUGUAUCUUAUUGCUAACUAUAUUUCUCAAUCUUAGUGCCUUGUUGAUUUUGGUCUUUAUUAUUUAAUGUUUUUGAACUUGAUCACCUAACAUAUGGGCUGAACUGUUGUUUAUCUACAAUAGUAUUUCAAAGUGUUUUUGUAAUCUUCUUCGUGCUCUUGGUUUUGAAUUUGUGGCUUCCCUUGAUAAUUUAGAUUUGUGAAUUUAUGUUAUUGUUUUUGUACUUUGUCAUGUCAUCUUUUUAAGAAGAUUAGUUUUCUCAAAUCGCCACGAGUCUUCUUGAGCUUUGCCACGAGUAUUCUUGAGCUUUUACAUGAAGGAUGUAGGGGUCAGGUUUUGGAAAUAAUGGAUGGAGAUACAGUUAAACUUUAGGCUUUAUUAUCUUUGCAUUUAUUAUGCUGAUAAAAAAACAUCUUUGCAUUCAUUAUUUUCUUUGUUGUUAUUCCUUUUGCUACUCUUGUAGAGUUGGAGUUCUUGUAAUUGGGCAUUUGACUUUGAUGAUUUGAUUAUCUUUUACUUGUGUUGUAGUGAACUUUGAGCUUUGCCAUUAGUCUUCUUGACCUUUGCCAU